GACGAACGCUGGCGGCGUGCUUAACACAUGCAAGUCGAACGGAAAGGCCCUGCUUUUGUGGGGUGCUCGAGUGGCGAACGGGUGAGUAACACGUGAGUAACCUGCCCUUGACUUUGGGAUAACUUCAGGAAACUGGGGCUAAUACCGGAUAGGAGUUCCUGCUGCAUGGUGGGUGUUGGAAAGUUUCUGCGGUUGGGGAUGGACUCGCGGCUUAUCAGCUUGUUGGUGGGGUAGUGGCUUACCAAGGCGUUGACGGGUAGCCGGCCUGAGAGGGUGACCGGCCACAUUGGGACUGAGAUACGGCCCAGACUCCUACGGGAGGCAGCAGUGGGGAAUAUUGCACAAUGGGCGGAAGCCUGAUGCAGCAACGCCGCGUGCGGGAUGACGGCCUUCGGGUUGUAAACCGCUUUCGCCUGUGACGAAGCGAGAGUGACGGUAAUGGGUAAAGAAGCACCGGCUAACUACGUG
rnacentral:rRNA from 1 species